AGUUAGAACAAUUCAGAAACAAACAAAAGAAAAAUAAAAAUAAAAGUGACCGACUAUACUAUACCUAAGUUGGUGACCGAACUGAAGCCAGCAUUGUAGAGAGCCUAUUCGGUCAUCAGCUCCCUCUGCAGUGGGACCACCAUAUCCUUCAAUCGAUGGAAGUUCUUUUGAUCACCGACCUCCACCUGACCGUUAUCAUUGGGACCGGUCCUUGGAUCACCCCAGCAUGAAGGAAAGCCCCAAGGA
rnacentral:lncRNA from 1 species